UAAUAAGAAGCAAAUCCUUGCAUUUAGUUUCGACCUAAAUUUUGAUAAAUUUAUCCUUAUUUU
rnacentral:tRNA from 1 species